GCAUAUCAAUAAGCGGAGGAAAAGAAACUAACUAGGAUUCCCUUAGUAAAGGCGAUCGAAAAGGGAACAGCCCAACGUCUUAAUCCCGCAAGGGAAAUGUAGUCGGUUCACCUAUUGCACUGGUCUAAGUCAGAUGGAAUGCUGCGCGAUUCAGAGUAAAAGCCUCGUAUGACCAACCGCAAGCUUACGAUGGACCGGGGAGAGUCGGAUACUUUGAGAGUAGUGUCUUAAGGGGGUGGUAUGUCCCAUCCAAGGCUAAAUAACGUGAGGAGACCGAUAGAUUACAAGUAGUGUGAACGAAAGAUGAAAAGAACUCUAAAACAGAGGGUGAAAAGUUCCUGAACUUGCUUAGGGUUAAGGCUAUUUAUAGUACCGU
rnacentral:rRNA from 1 species